rnacentral:rRNA from 1 species
GGAAGACGCGGGAAAGUGGGGCGGGGAUGAGGGAGGGUCGUGGGGUGAAUGUGAAUGACUGGGGGUAAAGCGUGGGCAGGCGGUUGGUUAAGGGGGAUGUGAAAGCCCUGGGCUCAACCUAGGAAUAGCAUUGCGAACUGGCGAACUAGAGUCUUGUAGAGGGGGGGAGAAUUCCAGGUGUAGCGGUGAAAUGCGUAGAGAUCUGGAGGAAUACCGGUGGCGAAGGCGGCCCCCUGGACAAAGACUGACGCUCAUGCACGAAAGCGUGGGGAGCAAACAGGAUUAGAUACCCUAGUAGUC